UUCAUCCGACUAAUAUUUCUCCUGCGCUUUCUUCGCAGGCUCCUGAGAGGGGGUCGUCUUCCUCUUGUUCAUUCAUUUAUUUGGUUGAACAUCAGCUUGGUCAUCCGAUCAGUACGAGUGGUUCUGAAAUGGUAUCUCCUCGUAUGACCAUAUUCUAUACCAAAACUUUAGUUGUGAAGAUGAUUUCAGAUCACGAGCAUCCUCUAUAUACACCGUCUGACUUUCUAGGAACGAUGAGCCCAUCCGUUUCAGAUCAUUCAGUUCACUAUUAUUCUCCGGAAGCCAGUGGUGCUGAACUCAAGUAAAAGGUUGAAGGCCAUAAUUCCUCUCUGUCUGAUUCCCGAUAUGGGUAAAUGAGAAAGUCACGCAAGAAGACUAGUGAUUCGGGUAGUGCUAGUGAAAAGCGUCAAAAGGAGAUUCCUAAGGUUUCAUGCGGCGUGAACGAGGAUGCUUGGUUGAUGGCUAUUCAAGAAGAUCCCAAAUUUAUAUAUCCCCUCAUUUUGGACAUAAAGGAGACGGAUAUAGAUGACCUUUUCAUCCAGGUGCACCGGUUCUGGGUUUCUUCCUCUAAGGCUGCCAAUUAUCGCCGCAUAGUUGAGAAAUUUGAUCAUAUGUAUGUGCAUGAGGAGACGGGCGCUAGUGCUUUCAUUAUAGUAAAUGAGGAUUUAUUGGAAUCGUGGAUGGUCUUGCUCAUGCUGAAGACGCACCCAUUGAUCAGGCGGUGCUGAAGAGAUGGGAAAGUUCUCUCUAGACGGCUUCUCUCAUUGGGUUUCCCAUCCAGUGGUUGGAAUGGUUGAUGGGCGCCGUGAAGGCGAGCAAUAACGCGCAUCAUCUGCUUCCCAAAUAAAUCGGCAAAUUGGAAAAAGAGCAUGCACGACUUCUGAAGGUGGCUGAGGCAGAGAAGGGAGUAUAUGAUCAGCUGAUGGAAAGCAUUGGCAAUGCUGCUGCGGAGCUAAAAACUGCUAGGGUCGCGGCUGAGGAGGUCCGCUCAAAGCUGGAGAAGAAGCAGGCGGAGUUUGCUGCUCUAGAUGCAUAGUGGCCAUUCUUUUCUUAUUCUGACGUGAAUAGAUCCUCUCCAUCCUCUCUCUUUUUUUAUUUUGCUUUUAUGUGGUACUAUUCUCUGGAAACUUUUGGACUUAUCUUUGACGUUUAUUAUGCAUGGUUAGAUUAAAGUAUAUCCUUCUUAUUA